UACGGAGGGUGCAAGCGUUGUCCGGAAUCACUGGGCGUAAAGGGCGCGUAGGCGGCUCAUGAAGGCUGUGGUGAAAGUCCGGGGCUCAACCCCGGAUCGGCCGUGGCGACUCGUGGGCUGGAGCACUGUAGAGGCGGGUGGAAUUCCGGGUGUAGCGGUGGAAUGCGUAGAGAUCCGGGAAGAACACCAGUGGCGAAGGCGCCCGCUGGGCAGUGGCUGACGCUGAGGCGCGACGCGUGGGGGAGCAAACAGG
rnacentral:rRNA from 1 species